UACGUAGGGUGCAAGCGUUGUCCGGAAUUAUUGGGCGUAAAGAGCUCGUAGGCGGUCUGUCGCGUCUGCUGUGAAAACCUGGGGCUUAACCCCGGCCUGCAGUGGGUGACGGGCAGACUAGAGUGUGGUAGGGGAGACUGGAAUUCCUGGUGUAGCGGUGAAAUGCGCAGAUAUCAGGAGGAACACCGAUGGCGAAGGCAGGUCUCUGGGCCACUACUGACGCUGAGAAGCGAAAGCAUGGGGAGCGAACAGG
rnacentral:rRNA from 1 species